rnacentral:lncRNA from 1 species
AGCAACUGCCUAUGAACUUCUCAUGGAGAUCAACUGGGACCUUGCAGCAGAAAUCUCAUUUAAAACAACUGGAAAUGACUUCACCUUGGCCCACAUCUCAGCGUAACAGCCAUGUCCUCCUCCUCCAGCCCUGCUCUUUGUGCCUGUAGCUGUGACUUCAGAAAAGUAGACAAGAGCCUUCUCACAGAAGAUCAUAACAGCUGAAAACUGGGUAUGUGAGUACCAUUCUCUUUCCUAAAAUCCAAGUAUCAUUAACAGCUUUAAACAACUUACCAAGGCAGCGGGGCACAGUGGAAGAUCCCUUCACUAUUUGUUUGGGUUUAGUCUAUCCUUUUACACUUUAGAUCUUACAUUAAUGUUUUGAAAAACAGAGAUGAUGCGGGACACAUCGCAUUUUUAAAUAGCCUUUGAUGAAGGGCUGGAGCAUUCCAAAGGUUAGAUGUGGAGGGUGCAG